UUAUAAUCGAAUAAUAAAUUAAAUAAACAAUAGGAACGCUGAACGAAACUAUUCAAAGCUAUUGUUUUUGAAGGAGGCCUUUUGAGUCAAUAGCCACGACAAUAGGAAUCCAUGACCGGUUCCGGAGAGCAAAGGCGCAACGAAUAAGCACCAGAACCAUUUUUAGAAGAUUUAUCGUAAAUUGCAUGGCUGUUUUUGUUGUUUUCGUUUUAGAGAUUGUUAUAACGACUGGAUCGGAGGUUGUUGACCGCGUGAAGAAAAGAAAGAAUUGCCGGUGUUGGAAUAGAGGGAAUCGCGGUCAAUUCAACAAUAGAGCGAUAAUUCACGUGCAAUGCCGCACAGGCCAAUUGCACGUGACUCACCCGCCCAAUUGCGGGUAUAAAACGGAAGGACGUUCAGAAGCUCACCUCUAGACAGAUUUAUAGAACAUGCACAAUUAAUAUCUUUAUAUUCGUAUAACAACGUUUUGUUGAUCGAUCGACAUUACGAAAGGCCUAUUAACAAUUACCAAUAUUUAGUUUGAUUACAUUUAAUCGUAUAGUAGUAGGUCAGUUCAGCUGUGUUGUUGGACUUAGCUUACCCCACAAUUAUGUUUUGGUGACGGACUGAUGCCGUCUUCGGAAAAAAGAUUUAACAGCGGCAUAAUCGUAGGAGGCCUCCCGGAUGAAAGGGAUUGCGCAGUAAAUAAACGAAUAAGCAAAUAAAACAGGCGUGGUAAUUUUUUAAGGGAACCGGGAUAAAAACCAGGGAUUAAAAUCCGUCGUUAUUUAUAAUGUUCGUAUUAUAUAUUUUGAACAGGCAAUUAGUUUUGUUUAUUACGAAAUUAUUACCAUUUGAGGAAAGGUUUGGUAUUAAUAUAGAAAUUAAGCGGAAAUAAGCCCACCAAACCCCUAAAACAUUAUAUGGACGUUUACAAAAUAAUAUUUUUACAUUUGUUCGCAUCUUUUGCAUAAUAAGGAAGCGAAAUUUGAAUUUAGGUAUACCGUUCCCUUUUUCGAUAUAAAACAACCUGGAAUUUUGUAAAUCGAAAAUAUUAAAUUAUCCCGAAAUGUAAUUAACGUAUUUAAACCUGUUUAUAAUAAUUUCGCGUAAUCCUACGUAGGCCUCGGUGCUACAAUAAAAAUAUCGGGAUAAUUUGUUUUUAAAAAUAAAGGUACGAUUGCUAAAAGCAAAUGAACGUUAAUAUUGUAAUUGGAGGUUUUCGAUAAUUGGGGUAAAAUUAUAAUCGGUUUCAAAUAUAGUAAACAUCGAGGUUAAAUAAAUUUUAAAUGCUACUAAACAAUUCUAAAAGUAAAUUUAUUUAUACGGUAAUAAGUUUGUUUAUUUAACCUGUGGCCCAAAUGUGAUUUUUUUUAAUUUUUACAAAUUAUUUGACGUAAUUUGCUUUUGGCGUUAAUUCUAAUUUCAAGAAAUUAUUCGAUAUUAUACCUUGGUAAUUACGUAUAGUUACCCGAUUCCAUCUUUAUAAAAUCCUGGGUUUUGUCGGCAGAAUUCUACCUUUUUUCCCUGGUACCGUCCCGGUUAUAAUAUUAGGGGUGUUUUCGGGCCCUUUUGCCCGCUGCUGUUUAACGGAAAUCCGGGUAAAUAAAAAAUCGAUUAUUAAAACCCAUUUUGGCCUUUAAAUUGGUUUAUGGCGAUAUUAAAAAAAAAUUAGGACAGGCGAUAUUAGGCAAAUUAUAAAAUAAAUUAUAUAAAUUUUGAAAUU
rnacentral:sRNA from 1 species